AGGAGUGUGUGCUGCUCCCCAUCCCGGCACUGUGGGCGGGGUGCUGCUCAGGAGGGGCCCCACCAACCCCCAUGGGCUUGGCUACCCUGCAGCUGCUGCCCAGCCCUCCAGGGGCCCCCGACGGUCAGCUGCAGCCCAUCCCUGGCAUCGGCCACCCAGACAAGCCUGAGGCCGGGAAGCUGGACCAGCUGCGGUCUCAGCCCACCCCGAAGCAGGGAGCUCAAGGAACACCCACCCAGUCCCCCUCCACUGGCUGGAAAGCGCCUCCCAGGCCAGGGCUGGCCCUGAGGAAGGAGUCACCCCCAGUGACCUCGGAGCAGGAGCAGGGUCACAACAAGGGCCUGGUCACUGAGUGGGCUCAGCCCCAGGCCACAGCUGCCAUGAGGGCUGAGGCAGGGAAGCCCGGGGCCCUGAAGCUCAGGCCCUGGCAGGCCGGCAGGGACCCUCAAGCUCAAGAGGGGGCAGCAGUCACCGAGGAGGACCAGGGCCAGAGGACAGGAAGCCGGGAAGACAAGGGAAGGGGCCUGAAACCCAGGAGGCCCCCUAAAGGGACCUCCCAUCAACCUGGGCCGAGGAUCCGGCGCCCACAGAAGGACCGCAGCCGAGGCCGGGAUGGCGGCGGCAGCACCUCCAAGACCCCAGGCCGUGGGUGGAAAAGACCAGGAAGCACACAUGGGCACAGGCACAGGCACGCAGACCUGGGCACCACCCAGCAGGCCAUGCCCUCUCUGCCAGCCUCGUGCCUCCUGGCCCAGGCAGUCAUCACCUGUGGCAAUGUCAAGAUGAAGCAUGUCCCUGCCCUGACCGACCCUGGUCUGACCACACGCUACGUGGCAGAGAAUGAAAUUGUCAAGAUCCCAGCCCACACGUUCCUGGGGCUGCCCAACCUGGAGUGGCUGGAUCUCAGCAAGAACAAGCUGGACCCCCGAGGCCUGCACCCCCAUGCCUUCAAGAAUCUGAUGCGGCUGAAGCGGCUGAACCUGGAUGGGAACUCGCUGACCACAGUCCCGGCCCUACCUGCCUCCCUGCAGGAGCUCAAACUCAACGACAACCUCCUGCAGGGCCUGCAACGCAGCAGCUUCCGUGGGCUCAGCCAGCUGCUGACGCCGGAGGUGGAAGGGAACCAGCUGCGUGACAGGGACAUCUCCCCCUGGCCUUCCAGCCCCUCUGCAGCCUGCUCUAUCUGAGGCUGGACCGGAACCGGCUGCGGACCAUCCCACGCGGCCUGCCGUCCUCCCUGCAGUCACGCAGCCUGCCGUCCUCCCUGCAGGAGCUGCACCUGGGCACCAACCUCAUCGAGGAGGUGGCGGAGGGCGCACUGAGCCACAUCCACAGUCUCAGCGUGCUGGUGCUCAGCCACAACCGGCUUCAAGAGCACCGGCUGGCACCCCGAGCCCGGAUCCAUCUCCCGAAGCUGGAGACCCUUGACCUGUCCUACAACCGGCUGGUGCACGUGCCCUCCUUCCUGCCGCGGGGCCUGAGGCGCCUGACGCUGCACCACAACCACAUCGAGCGCAUCCCUGGCUACGCGUUCGCGCACAUGAAGCCAGGCCUAGAGUUCCUGCACCUGUCCCACAACAGGCUGCAGGCUGACGGCAUCCACAGCGUGUCCUUCCUGGGCCUGCGCGCCUCGCUGGCAGAGCUGCUCCUGGAUCAUAACCAGCUGCAGGCCAUCCCACGCGGCCUCCUGGGCCUCAAGGGACUGCAGGUGCCGGGCCUGAGCCACAACAGGAUCAGACAAGUGCCCUUGAAUUCCAUCUGUGACACGCGCGUGGCCCAGGACUCCAACCUUAUCUCCACACACCUGGAGAACAACCUCAUUGACCGGCACCGCAUCCCGCCCACUGCCUUCUCCUGCAUCCGAGCCUAUCACAGCGUGGUCCUCCAGCCCCAGCGGGGGGAGGAGAAGGGCUCCUAG
rnacentral:sRNA from 1 species